UACGUAGGGUGCAAGCGUUAAUCGGAAUUACUGGGCGUAAAGCGUGCGCAGGCGGUCAUGCAAGACAGAUGUGAAAUCCCCGGGCUCAACCUGGGCACUGCAGUUGAAACUGGCAAGCUAGAGUAGGGUAGAGGGGGUGUGGAAUUCCAGGUGUAGCGGUGAAAUGCGUAGAUAUCUGGAGGAACAUCAGUGGCGAAGGCGACACCCUGGACUCAGUACUGACACUGAGGUGCGAAAGCGUGGGGAGCAACAGG
rnacentral:rRNA from 1 species